rnacentral:rRNA from 1 species
GGAUCAAUUUGCUGGUCGUGCUAUGGUACGUACUGGUUUUGUUGGUUCCUCCUUUCCAAGGAACCGCGAUGUCAUUAAUUUGGUGUCGCGGGGAAUCUGGACUGUUACUUUGAAAAAAUUAGAGUGUUUAAAGCAGGCUAACGCUUGAAUACAUUAGCAUGGAAUAAUGAAAUAGGACGUUUGAUCCUAUUUUGUUGGUUUCUAGGAUCGACGUA